AUCAUUGCUAGCUCACAAACCACUAUCAUCGCCAUCAUCAUCCAUAGGUUGAGAAUCUUGCAUAAUGGCCUCCUUCUGUUCAAUGGUCAGACUUGGAUCAUCUAGUGGGGUUGGGAGAAUAGGAAAAGUGGAAUGUUCAAUAAUGGAGUGUUCAGUCCAUAGAUGUCCAUUGUAAGUGCAGACAAGUAGUGUAGAAACAUCGGUCCAUCCUAAAUUAUUUCUUAGUUGUAGAGUGUGAUCUUUAAGUCCAUUGUUAUUGUUGAAGGGGCAAAAUGUAAGGGCAUUUCAAUUGUUCUCCAAUAAUGAC
rnacentral:lncRNA from 1 species